rnacentral:rRNA from 1 species
UGGCCGGAAGAGCACCGCACGUCGCGCGGUGUCCGGUGCGCCCCCGGCGGCCCAUGAAAAUCCGGAGGACCGAGUACCGUCCACGCCCGGUCGUACUCAUAACCGCAUCAGGUCUCCAAGGUGAGCAGCCUCUAGUCGAUAGAGCAAUGUAGGUAAGGGAAGUCGGCAAAAUGGUUCCGCAACCUCGGGAGAAGGAAUGGCUCUGAAGGCUGGGCGCAGGGGUCGUCGGUCCGAGGCUCGCUGG